rnacentral:miRNA from 1 species
GAAGUAUUCUAUUGUGUGUGUGUGUGUGUGUGUGUCUGUGUGUAUAUAUAUACACACACAUUUAUACACAUAUAUAUACACAUAUAUAUAC